CUCUCUCUCUCUCUCUCUUCCCUCCCGUACCUCUCAUUCACAUUUCUCAUCCCUUUUCACGCUGCUUCAGCAACCCAGUAAAGACAAACAACGCCCCGUCCAUCGAUCACCAACGACCGUCAAAUUAUACCUUCACAAUCCUCUUUCCGUCUUCUUUUCAAACCCCAAGAUAGUUUCUACAAAUUCGUAGCCGAAUUUCCUCAAUUUCAGAUCUAAGAAACGGUGACCGCGGGAUUUCCGGCCAAACCUGCAGGAAUCGGAGAUCGACCCAGAGGUAAAAAUUAUCCACUUCUCGUGGGCUGUCCUCCAGUAUUGGGGAGGAGGAAGGUGAAUCAAGGUUGUUUCCAAGCUCGACCGAGAAGAAUGGAAGGUUGUUUCCAAGCUCGACCGAGAAGAAUGGAAGGUUGUGGGUGAAAUUAAGAAACCCAUUCUCUAUCUCCCGUCCGUCGUCCGCCGAUCACCAACGACCGUCAAAUUAUACCUUCACAAUCCUCUUUCCAAACCCCAAGAUAGUUUCUACAAAUUCGUAGCCGAAUUUCCUCAAUUUUAGAUCUAAGAAACGGUGACCGCGAGAUUUCCGGCCAAACCUACCAGAAUUGGAGCUCGACCCAAGAGGUAAAAAUGAUCCACUCCUCGUGGGCUGCCUUCCAGUGUAAGUGUUUUUAAUCCCAAAAUCAAAGCUUUAAGUUUUGGGAUGGAUUCUAUAUUUGGAAUUUUAAUUCCACUUUGUGUAUGCAUGUGGAAGAUUGGUGAGGAGGAAGGUGAUCAAGGUUGUUUCCAAGCUCGACCAAGAAGAAUGGAAGGUUGUGGCUGAAAUAAAGGUGAAAUCCGAGAAAACCCUUAUUCUAUUUCGGUUUUAAAGGGUACUAUAAUCUGCCCAUUUUGUUUAUGUUUUGUGUGUUUGAAGUUUUUGCUAAACAUUCUAUUUAUCUACUGAUAUCAUGAAUACAAACCUAAGUUGUAGUAGCAUUGGCAUGGCAUUAAUAAACACCAAAUUGGAUUGCAGACA